rnacentral:rRNA from 1 species
UCUUGAAGUGUAAAAGUCGUAACAAGGUCUCCGUAGGUGAACCUGCGGAGGGAUCAUUAC